ACGUGAUUUAUCAUGGCCGCGCCCUUUAAAUUUGCUGCUAGUUUGUUUAUCCAUUGAAAAAGUAAUAUGUAAGGGCCAUUUGCUUCUUUUUUGGAGUGUUCACAUGAUGAACAUGGAGGAAAGAGACUCGGGACACGAAAGUUGUGUUUCCAGUUCUUCCGACGAUUCUAUGUCAGAUGGAGAUUAUGUGGUUCAGCAGCCAGCAGCAGUCUCACCUGCCCUUUCUGAAGAACAGCCUAAGUUUGACUUUACCAGUUGGAGUCCAGAUGCACCAGCAGGUCUCCAGUGGUUGAGUUUACUCCCCAUGGACGCAGACUAUGGCUCUCAAAAAGAACAUGUUGGUAGGAUCAGGGUAUCUGCCACACACAGGAAAGCAAGGAUGAAGCGAUUUGCUUCAGGGCAGACAGUUGCAAAAAAUAAAUUAGAUGAGAGAAGGCUUCGAAAUGCAGUGAAUGAUAAUGAUUAUUAUGCAGCAUUUCAGCUUCUAGAUGGUGGUGUGGACCCAUGCAAUUCAGAUGAAAAGAAAAGAAGUCCUCUGCACUUUGCUGCCUGCAAAGGAAAUGAACGUAUUGCAAGUUUGUUGUUAGAUUAUGGUGCUGAUCCAAACCAAAGAGAUGUACUUGGGAAUACUGCUCUGCAUUUAGCUGCAUGCACAAACAACAUCAAGAUGGUGACUGUCCUGCUUUCUGCAGGCACUGAUGUAGCAGCAUUAGAUAACUCAGGUAGGACUCCUCUUCACUUGGCUGUAUCCAGACUGAGUCUUCUGCAGAGGACCACUUCUUACAGCAGCGAGCAACUCAAGUGUGAGGUCUUUGAGGUGAUGAAUAUGAUGAAGACCUACUUGAGUCUGAAAGGAAGUGAUACACAACGAGUUCAAGAACUUGAUGACUUGUGCAGUAGAUUAGAACGGACUUCUACCAAAGAGGAAGUAGAUGAAGUGAACAGUUUGCUAACAAAUUUAACCAACUUAAGCAUCCAAAAACAGGAGCAGCCUGGUUGACAGAUGACAAGUGACAUCUAUCAUGUUGUCAUUUAUGUAUCAAGCAGGUGGUGUUUGAACGGUCGCCCCAAUAGGACUCGAGCUACAAGCUUGACCUCUGAUGUGUCACACAUUUGUCUCUAGAGACCAAUGGUACAGGUGACACAUUGAGAUUCAAAAGCAGGAACCUGGUUGGACAAGAGAGGAACAAGACGAAGAUGUGCUUUAUGGGCAAAUCAAGGAUUCCAAUUUUCCCCCAUUAUAAAUAUGAAGGAAAUGGAAAUCUAUCUUGAUUAAUUCUGGCAUCUUUUGUCAUAUUAUGUCCUCAAUGUAGGUAAUAUGCAGUAAGAACAAAAAGACGGACCCCAAUUCCCAUUAUAUCUGCCCAAGAAACUGUGGUCUGAUAGUCCCCAUAAAUGGAAUCAGGCAUUGAUGCAUAAUGAUGGUUCCAAUAAGUUACAUUGAGCCGUUUAUAGUAUGCCUAUGUUUUCACCUUAUUUAAUAUCUGUCACGCUUUAAAGGGACUGGUGUGUUAAAUAUGUUGGUUGAUAGUGUAUGCAUGGUUGAAUUCAGAGAGCAUUUAAAAUGGGAUUUUUAACUUGUUUGGAGAGUUACAGAAUUAAUUCUACAACAUCAGUGACUUUGAAUGCAAUUUUGAUACUGGUAUUACUUAGAAAUGCUUUUGCAGACUAGGUUAAUAAAGAAAUUAGUGCUGUACUCUUGCCAGUGGUGAUAAAAUGGGUUGUGUAAGUACAGGAAAGACUAUUAAAUUUGAAUUAAAACAUUUGACUGAAUAUUUACCAGUUAACAGUUGCGACAUUAACCACUGGGCCUACGCCAUGGCUAGUACAAAUUUGUUUGGACCAGUAGAAUUUUCAGAAUGUGUGAAUUUAGUGAUCUGACAUGACCAUUAGAUAUGUUUUUAUAACUUUUAAAAAGAGCUUUCAAUUUGGUUUAAUUUUUCCUGAGAUCCUCAAUUAAAAAAACAUUUGACA
rnacentral:misc_RNA from 1 species